rnacentral:lncRNA from 1 species
CAAAAAAAGAAAAUGGAAUUGAUCAAGCACAAAGGCUAGGAGAGUGGUCCAUUACAUCAAUCGAUACUUCAGAGUACUUAUGACCAACUUAUGUAUCAAUCCAAAGCACCUUAAAUGAUCCAUGAUCAAUUAGGAGGUAGAUUUGAAAUAAUGAAAGUUCAUCCAGCACCAAUCCAUACAUCAUGAACAAGAUGGACACAAAUCAUCCAAUUGAUCAAGAGGAAAAGAAAGAGACGAAGAAGAAGAUGACAAGAG